GACACCCCUGUGGUUGCCAACCUAGGAAUCCCAUCUUCCAACGGCUCUGCAAGCCCAUCAACAACUACAGUUUCCUCGACCACAAGCAAGGUGACCAUUUCCUCGACCUCAAGCAAUGUCAGUGCCACGAAUUCGACGGUGCCGGCUAAGACGCCAGCGAGGGUGACUCCUGCCAGCACAAAGCCCACCCCUCAAACAACAAGCGUUUCACAGACCACAUCGAAGAUCGCAACAUCUGCAGUGACCACCAGCCACAAUAGUUCAGUGCCGUCUGCUUCUUCGUUAGUAACAAGCACGUCAACUAUUAAUUCUAAAGAAAAUAGAGGAUCGAAGUUUGAUAUUGGCAGCUUUGUUGGUGGUAUUGUUUUAACACUGGGAGUUUUAUCAAUUCUUUACAUUGGAUGCAAAACCUAUUAUUCCAGAAGGGGCAUUCGAUAUAGAACCAUUGAUGAACAUGAUGCCAUCAUUUAAGGAACUCCCAGCGACAAGGGAAGAAGACAGGUUGAUGCAGCCGUUAGCUAACUUUUGUUUAUUUGUAACUUAAAAAAUACAUUCUCUUCGUGGAAAUAGUAGAAACAGACCGGGCAUACAAUGUACAACGUAGUAUAAAAUAUGUAAAGAAUCAUCUUGAUUACUGAGAAGCAUUGGGUGUAGGUUUUUAAUGAACAUGUGAAGCUGGCAAAGAGCCCUGGUAGUGCAGCAGUUAAGGCUUGACCCCUAAGUGGACCCACCCGCUGCGCGGUGGGAGAAAGAUGUGGCGGUCCGCUUCCAUAAAGAGACACAGGCUUGGGAGCGCCCAGGGGCAGUUUUGCCCUGCCCUACAGGGCUGCUGAGUACACAUUGCCUUGCCAGCAGUGAGCUUUGGGGUUUUGGGGGAGUCGUUUGUUUUUAUCUGGCACAGUUAUAUUUACUUUCCACACAUCCCCAGACAUUGUCAGACACGUAGGUCCUCUCCCAUUUUCUUGUGGCAUUGGUCGCCCACAGCUAGUAUUUGGAAGACAGCACCAAUGACGGGCAGGACCCCAUCUGGGCAUCUGGCUAAGGGACUGUCCGAGCACUCAGGAUUUCAAGGUUCUUGCUGCUCACACCAGUGCUGGGUGUGACCACGCAGCAGAAAGGAAACAAGUGAGUAAAACAAACCAGGCCUUCAACAUAAUUUUCAUUUAAAUGCCUCUUCAAAAAAGCAGUCUUUUGUAUUUAAGGUAUAUAGCUAGUUUAAAACAAUAACGCAUCCAGAAAAAAACAAAACUCCAAGUUAAACCAGACACAGUUGCUUAACACUGUCAGAGAUCCAUUGGAGAGACUGUAUUUUUAUAAACGUCUUGUGAGCUUCAAUGGUAGUUGAUACAAAUUUCUCUUUGGCUUUCUGUUGUAUAAUUUCUACCAAACUGUGUUGUUUCACAGGACUGUUUUUAUGCUGUUUUGUUGCUAGUUUUAAAUCAUCCUGUAUUUAUAGGGGAGAACUCCUAGAAGUGUAUGUGCUACUGUGAGAAUGUUGUUGCCACUGGAAAUUGUUUUAUUUCAUAUUUCACGUGAUAAUUUUAUAUUUAGUGACUCUUUUUUAAGGGAUGGGGAGAUGCUUUCAGUAUUGAGAAAUGUCUAAUGGAGUGUAGUAAGCACGAUCAACUUUGAAAAAGUCUUUCACAUGCUUGCCAAAACAGUCUUUAGAAGGAACUCCAUGUGGCAGGUGCUAUGCUGCCCCUCCAGGCAAGGACUGAACAUUGCAACAGGAAAAUGAGUGUCCAUUUGACUCAAAGAUUUGGGGAAAGAACCAUUUUUCUACUAAGCCACGUGUACAUCAAAAUAUGUGCUUGUGACGUUUUAAAAGAAUGUUUGAGAUGGAAUUUCCUACUUCCUUAUCUGCGCAUUCCCCCAAGAUCACACCUCC